rnacentral:rRNA from 1 species
AUUGAACGCUGGCGGCAGGCCUAACACAUGCAAGUCGAGCGAGCGGCGGACGGGUGAGUAAUGUAUGGGGACUGCCCGAUAGAGGGGGAUAACUACUGGAAACGGUAGCUAAUACCGCAUACUAUCGGAUAACCCAUAUGGGAUUAGCUAGUUGGUGAGGUAAUGGCUCACCAAGGCGACGAUCCCUAGCUGGUCUGAGAGGAUGAUCAGCCAGAUGGGGAAUGGGACACGGCCAAGCCUCCUAGGGAGGCAGCAGUGUGGAAUAUUGCACGAUGGGCUCAUGCCUGAUGCAGCCAUGCCGCGUGUAUGAAGAAGGCCCUAGUGUGGUAAAGUACUUUCAGUCGGGAGGCGUUACCGACAGAAGAAGCACCGGCUAACUCCGUGCCAGCAGCCGCGGUAAUUC